rnacentral:rRNA from 1 species
GAUGAACGCUGGCGGCAUGCCUAAGACAUGCAAGUCGAACGCGGAGGCCCACUGAAAGUGGAGUGCUUGCACAAAACUGGACGUGGAUUUUCCUCCGAGUGGCAAACGGGUGAGUAACACGUGGGUUACCUGCCUCUAUGUUGGGGAUAACAGUUGGAAACGAUUGCUAAUACCGAAUGUGCUCUACGGAGUAAAGGAGCCCUUAAAGCUUCGCAUAGAGAUGGGCCUGCGGUGCAUUAGCUAGUUGGUGGGGUAAUGGCCUACCAAGGCGACGAUGCAUAGCCGAGCUGAGAGGUUGAUCGGCCACACUGGGACUGAGACACGGCCCAGACUCCUACGGGAGACAGCAGUUAGGAAUAUUCGUCAAUGGGGGAAACCCUGAACGAGCAAUGCCGCGUGAACGAUGAAGGCCCUAUGGGUUGUAAAGUUCUGUUGUUUGGAGAGAAUAGCUAAAAGAGGAAAUGCUUUUAGUCUGACGGUACCAUUCAAGAAAGCCACGGCUAACUACGUGCCAGCAGCCGCGGUAAUACGUAGGUGGCGAGCGUUAUCCGGAUUUAUUGGGCGUAAAGCGUGCGCAGGCGGUUUGUUAAGUCUAAAAUUAAAGUCCGAAGCUUAACUUCGGUUCGUUUUAGAAACUGGCAGGCUUGAGUAUGGUAGAGGCAAACGGAAUUUCUAGUGUAGCGGUAAAAUGCGUAGAUAUUAGAAGGAACACCAGUGGCGAAGGCGGUUUGCUGGGCCAUUACUGACGCUCAUGCACGAAAGCGUGGGGAGCAAAUAGGAUUAGAUACCCUAGUAGUCCACGCCGUAAACGAUGAGUACUAAGUGUCGGGUUACCGGUGCUGAAGUUAACACAUUAAGUACUCCGCCUGAGUAGUACGGUCGCAAGGCUGAAACUCAAAGGAAUUGACGGGCACCCGCACAAGCGGUGGAGCAUGCUGUUUAAUUCGAAAAUACGCGAAGAACCUUACCUAGACUUGACAUCCCUGGCAAAGCUAUAGAAAUAUAGUGGAGGUUAUCCGGGUGACAGGUGGUGCAUGGUUGUCGUCAGCUCGUGUCGUGAGAUGUUUGGUUAAGUCCAAUAACGAGCGCAACCCUCGUCUUUAGUUGCUAACAUUUAGUUGAGAACUCUAAAGAGACUGCCAGUGCAAGCUGGAGGAAGGUGGGGAUGACGUCAAAUCAUCAUGCCCCUUACGUCUAGGGCUACAGGCGUGCUACAAUGGCCAGUACAACGAGUCGCAACACAGUGAUGUGAAGCUAAUCUCUUAAAGCUGGUCCCAGUCCGGAUUGGAGUCUGCAACUCGACUCCAUGAAGUUGGAAUCGCUAGUAAUCCCAAAUCAGAAUGUUGGGGUGAAUACGUUCCCGGGUGUUGUACACACCGCCCGUCACGCCAUGGGAGUCUGUAAUACCUGAAGUCGGUAGCCUAACCAGCAAUGGAGGGGGCCGCCCAGGGUAGGACAGGUGACUGGGGUGAAGUCGUAACAAGGUAUCCCUACGAGAACGUGGGGAUGGAUCACCUCCUUUCUAUGGAGUUAUUACUUAUAGGAAAAUAACCGUAUGAAACCUUCGGGGAUUGCACAUUUAUGUGAAAAGGUUUCGUGAAUUAGCUACAGUGACGAUUUUUACUUGGUUUUGAGAGAUCAUUCUCUCAGAUUUUGUUCUUUGAAAACUAGAUAAUGUAAUUUUGAGUAGUUGUUUCUUUCCUAAGAAAUGACAUUAAGAUCUCAAAACUCAUCAUUAGAUAACUUGAAAUUGGUGUAAAAUAAGUAAGUUAAAUUAAUAAGGGCGCAUGGUGGAUGCCUUGGCAUUAGAAGUCGAUGAAGGACGUGACAAACUACGAUAUGCUUCGGGGAGAUGUAAGUAAUCUAUGAUCCGGAGAUUUCCGAAUGGGGAAACCUACUAGAUUCGUCUAGUAUCCUAGAGUGAAUACAUAGCUCUAGAGAAGACAACCCAGUGAACUGAAACAUCUUAGUAACUGGAGGAAAAGAAAGAAAAAUCGAUUACCUUAGUAGUGGCGAGCGAAAAGGUAAGAGCCCAAACCAGUCUUAGGACUGGGGUUGUAGGACAUCAUAUACGGAGUUACAAAAUUUCUUGAUAGCAGAAUAUUCUGGAAAGGAUAGCUGGAAAAGGUGAAAGCCCUGUAUGCGAAAUCAUGAAAUCUCUUUGAUGUAUCCUGAGUACGGCGAGGCACGUGGAACCUUGUCGGAAUCUGCGAGGACCAUCUCGUAAGGCUAAAUACUCUCUAAUGACCGAUAGUGAACA